UCACCUGGGGUCUUAUUGAAAUGAAGAUUCUGAUUGAAUAGGCAUGGGAUGGGCCUGAGAUUCUGCAUUUCUAACAAGCUCUCAAGUGAUGC
rnacentral:miRNA from 10 species